rnacentral:rRNA from 1 species
AUGGCGAUGCGGCCCAAGUCCGAGAUGUCCCCGACGCCCUCCGACCAGAGGGGCGCCGUCAUCGAGGAACUGAGGAAGGGCGCUCAGCUGGCUGACUGCCUCCGGCAACAGCUGGAGCUGAUCCCGGAGCUCGGUCGCCGCAACGCCGCGCUGUACAACGUGAGCAACAUCUCCACGGCCCUAGUGUCGUCCGUCUCCAUGCUGCAGUCCGACAGAGAGCAGUACAGCUGCUCCUCCGACGCCAGGGCGGCAUCCUAUGCUGCCGGUGCCUCCGGUGCUGGUGGCAGCGGCAGCGGCGGGCCUCGAAAUGGAGCCAUUGCCCGCACCAGAAAAGCGAGGCACCGGCGAGGCAUCCAUGGCGAGGAGCUUCCAUUCAAGGAGAUACUAACUAAGACGCCAGGAAAUGACGGGUUCCACUGGAGGAAAUAUGGCGAGAAGAAAAUCUUGAAUGCUGUUUUUCCGAGGUCAUACUACAGAUGCGGAUACAGUGACGAGCACAGGUGCCCAGCAAAGAAACUUGUACAGCAGCAAAACAACAGCGACCCUCCCGUGUUCAUGGUCACCCUGAUCAACGACCACACAUGCAGUAGUUUGUUCCCAACUAAUAAUCAACCACCCAGGAGCUCAAGCAGUGCUACUGCUAACUCACAAGUGCUCGACUUCACCACAGCGUCGCUCUCUUCAGCUGUUGGUGUCUCCAGGUUGAAGAAAGAGGAAGACGCAGGCAUGUCGGUGACCGUGCCCAGCUACACGUAUCAUGAGCUGUCUUGUUAUUCCUCGCUGCCGUUGCUCUCGCCGAUGGAGUGGGAGACGGAGAUGGUGAUCAACUCACUUUUUCGUCAUCGCCCGGGAGGUGGUAUUUAG